rnacentral:rRNA from 1 species
GACGAACGCUGGCGGCGUGCUUAACACAUGCAAGUCGAACGGAAAGGCCCUGCUUUUGUUGGGUGCUCGAGUGGCGAACGGGUGAGUAACACGUGAGUAACCUGCCCUUGACUUUGGGAUAACUUCAGGAAGCUGGGUCUAAUACCGGAUAGGAGCUCCUGCUGCAUGGUGGGUGUUGGAAAGUUUCGGCGGUGGGGGAUGGACUCGCGGCUUAUCAGCUUGUUGGUGGGGUAGUGGCUUACCAAGGCUUUGACGGGUAGCCGGCCUGAGAGGGUGACCGGCCAAAAUGGGAAUGAGAUCACGCCCAGAAUCCUAAGGGAGGCAGCAGUGGGGAAUAUUGCAAAAUGGGCGGAAGCGUGAUGCAGAAAAGCCGCGUGCGGGAUGACGGGCUUCGCGUUGUAAACCGCUUUCGCCUGUGACGAAGAGGGAGUGACGGUAAUGGGUAAAGAAGCAACGGCUAACUACGUG